AACGAACGCUGGCGGCAUGCCUAACACAUGCGAGUCGAACGAGACCUUCGGGUCUAGUGGCGCACGGGUGCGUAACGCGUGGGAACCUGCCCUUAGGUUCGGAAUACCUCCCCGACAGGGGUGCUAAUACCGGAUAAUGUCUUCGGACCAAAGAUUUAUCGCCUUUGGAUGGGCCCGCGUUGGAUUAGCUAGUUGGUAGGGUAAAAGCCUACCAAGGCGACGAUCCAUAGCUGGUCUGAGAGGAUGAUCAGCCACACUGGGACUGAGACACGGCCCAGACUCCUACGGGAGGCAGCAGUGGGGAAUAUUGGACAAUGGGCGAAAGCCUGAUCCAGCAACGCCGCGUGAGUGAUGAAGGCCUUAGGGUUGUAAAGCUCUUUUACCCGGGAUGAUAAUGACAGUACCGGGAGAAUAAGCUCCGGCUAACUCCGUG
rnacentral:rRNA from 1 species